CGGGCAACCUGCCCCUAGCUCUGGGAUAACUGCGGGAAACUGUAGCUAAUACCGGAUGUGACACGAGACUGCAUGGUCUUCGUGUGGAAAGAUUUAUCGGCUAGGGAUGGGCCCGCGGUCUAUCAGCUUGUUGGUGGGGUAAUGGCUCACCAAGGCGACGACGGGUAGCCGGCCUGAGAGGGUGACCGGCCACACUGGGACUGAGACACGGCCCAGACUCCUACGGGAGG
rnacentral:rRNA from 1 species